rnacentral:ncRNA from 1 species
UUGUGUCAACGGCAAACCUGUUGAAAAACAGGGACGCAAAGCUUCCGGCCUAAGGAAUAUAUUUCUAAGGUAGCGGGGUUACCACA